rnacentral:rRNA from 1 species
CAGGGAAUCUUCGGCAAUGGACGAAAGUCUGACCGAGCAACGCCGCGUGAGUGAAGAAGGUUCUCGGAUCGUAAAACUCUGUUGUUAGAGAAGAACAAGGACGUUAGUAACUGAACGUCCCCUGACGGUAUCUAACCAUAAAGCCACGGCUAACUACGCGUCAGCAGCCGCGGUAAUACGUAGGUGGCAAGCGUUGUCCGGAUUUAUUGGGCGUAAAGCGAGCGCAGGCGGGUGCUUAAGUAGGAUGUGAAAGCCCCCGGCUCAACCGGGGAGGGUCAUUGGAAGCUGGGAGACAUGAGGGCAGAGGAGGAGGGUGGAAUUCCAUGUGUAGCGGUGAAAGGCGUAGAUAUAUGGAGGAACAGCAGUGGCGGAGGCGACUCUCGGGUCUGAAACUGAAGCUGAGGCUCGAAAGGGUGGGGAGCAAACAGG